GGGUACUGGAGCCUCAGGUCUGAUCUUAACAGCAGGCUGUGUCCUGCACUGUAGGAAAUGCUGUUGUUGAGGCAGAGACAUUGCAAAUCCAGGUAGAAGAGAAUCUUUGAAAUCUGACAUGUAUUAAAGUUAGAUCUGGGACAGUCUACUGCUCUACUGGG